UCGAACGGACAGGUAAUGAAACCUAGUGAUUUAUCUGUUAGUGGCGGACGGGUGAGUAACGCGUGGGUAACCUGCCGUAUACAGGGGGAUAACACUUAGAAAUAGGUGCUAAAACCGCAUAAGCGCACAGGAUCGCAUGGUCCGGUGUGAAAAACUCCGGUGGUAUACGAUGGACCCGCGUCUGAUUAGCUUGUUGGCGGGGUAGAGGCCCACCAAGGCGACGAUCAGUAGCCGGCCUGAGAGGGUGAACGGCCACAUUGGGACUGAGACACGGCCCAAACUCCUACGGGAGGCAGCAGUGGGGAAUAUUGCACAAUGGGGGAAACCCUGAUGCAGCGACGCCGCGUGAGUGAAGAAGUAUUUCGGUAUGUAAAGCUCUAUCAGCAGGAAAGAAAAUGACGGUACCUGACUAAGAAGCCCCGGCUAACUACGUGCCAGCAGCCGCGGUAAUACGUAGGGGGCAAGCGUUAUCCGGAUUUACUGGGUGUAAAGGGAGCGUAGACGGUGAAGCAAGUCAGAAGUGAAAGCCCGGGGCUCAACUCCGGGACUGCUUUUGAAACUGU
rnacentral:rRNA from 1 species